rnacentral:rRNA from 1 species
UUCCGGUUGAUCCUGCCAGAGGCUACUGCUAUCGGGGUCCGACUAAGCCAUGCGAGUUGAGAGGGGUAAGCCCUCGGCAUAUUGCUCAGUAACACGCGGAUAACCUGCCCUUGGGUUUGGGAUAACCCCGGGAAACUGGGACUAAUACCGGAUAGAUCAAAGAAACUGGAAUGUUCUCUGAUCGAAAGCUCCGGCGCCCAAGGAUGGGUCUGCGGCCUAUCAGGUAGUAGUGGGUGUAACGUACCUACUAGCCUACGACGGGUAAGGGUUGUGAGAGCAAGAGCCCUGAGAUGGAUUCUGAGACAUGAAUCCAGGCCCUACGGGGUGCAGCAGGCGCGAAAACUUUACACUGCGGGAAACCGCGAUAAGGGGACCCCGAGUGCCAGCACCUAGUGCUGGCUGUCCAGCUGUUCAAAUAACAGUUGUUAGCAAGGGCCGGGCAAGACCGGUGCCAGCCGCCGCGGUAACACCGGCGGCCCGAGUGGUAGCCGUUAUUAUUGGGUUUAAAGGGUCCGUAGCCGGCCUAUUAAGUCUCUUGGGAAAUCUGGCGACUCAAUCGUCAGGCGUUCAAGAGAUACUGGUAGGCUUGGGACCGGGAGAGGUGGGAGGUACUCCAGGGGUAGGGGUGAAAUCUCGUAAUCCUUGGGGGACCACCGAUGGCGAAGGCAUCCCACCAGAACGGGUCCGACGGUGAGGGACGAAAGCUGGGGGCACGAACCGGAUUAGAUACCCGGGUAGUCCCAGCCGUAAACGAUGCUCGCUAGGUGUCANGUGCGGUGCGACCGCAUCUGGUGCCGCAGUGAAAACUUGAAGCGAGUCACCUGGGAAGUACGGUCGCAAGGCUGAAACUUAAAGGAAUUGGCGGGGGAGCACUACAACGGGUGGAGCCUGCGGUUCAAUUGGAUUCAACGCCGGA